rnacentral:misc_RNA from 1 species
CGUUAUAAUAAACGACGCAAAUUUUUUUAUAUACCUCACACGCAUAUAAAGCACCGCGGAUGUGUGUAGGUGCGGUUAUAUUUUUUGGGGCAGUGAUUUUCCGUGUUAGCUAUCAAGGUUGAAAACAUACAGUGGAAAAGGUUACCCCAUGAGUCGACGAUUUUCUCCCUUGUUUGGAUAUUCCCACGAACCUCCUCGGAGCGAGUGGGGUCGGAAUGUCAAGGGAAGUGUUAUUAGAAUUCCGUUGAGAUAAUGGAGGAAAAAAAGGUGAAAAGCAGAAAAAGAAAAAAACGGAAAACGGAAUCAAUUGCAGCAUACGUUUCGCCCGAGGAGCAAAAGUAUCGAGAUGUACUUUCAGAUCAUAAUCUCGAAGAAAUCGAGAUGAAAAAAAAAAAACGAAGAAGAAAAUUAAGAAACGAAAUGGAGAAGGAGACCAUGGCAACGACGUCCCUG